rnacentral:lncRNA from 1 species
CAUACAAAAGACCACUUAUAAAUCCCAAACCCUAAAAACCUAACCCUAAUUUCCCUAACCCAAACGGUGCCCUCAAUCCCUCCUCUGCCUCUCUGCCGCAAACAACCACCCAAACCGCUAGAAAAUACCCCCCCCCCCCCCUCAUAAUCAAUCACGUGGUCUAUUCUCUCACCCCCUUCCACAUGGCUUGAAAAAUAAUGAACUCUUAUAUUCUCUCACCCUCAUCCCUCUUUUUCACGUGAAGAAGCCUCUAGAAGGCAUGUGCUGGAUUAAUGGAGAACGUGGGAUCAAUUUCGAUUGAUCCCAGCCCUUCAUUCAUCAGGUGUGUGCCUUGUUCAAAAGGAUUUAGGGAUAUAAAGAGAUGUAGGGGUAUUGGAUUUGAGAGGGAGAAAAAAAUAGGAGAGGAAAGUUAAGAUUUGUGGGAGUUUCUUCUUUGUUCUUGGAUUUCCAGAAACAAUACAAAAAAAUACAAAAAUUAUUGUUGUUAAGUUUGAUAUUCGCAUCUCUGUUUUCUUCAAAAAAAAUUUGGAAAUUUCACUUUUAUUAUGGAGUUCGAUUGAGUUUGAGAGUUGAAGUUUGUUCGAGGCCAAGUUCGUGGAUUUUGGAUCCUGUCGCAUUCUCAACUGUUGUUACUUCAAAUUCCAGUGUUGAGUUCACUUGUAUUCAAUUUCAAACGAACUUAAUUGAAGAAUUUUGCAGAUUCAGGUUCACCUAUUUCCUUCUUAUUCUUGUUAAUGGUGAUUGAAACAUGAUAAGAGUCGUAGGUUUGUCAAAUUUGGAAAGUGUUUGAGUCGAUUUAGAAAGGGAAUGGAUUAAGGGCUGAUUUGUGCGAACAUGUACAGGAGUUACACUUAAUGUUCUAGAGUGUCUUUUGGCUCGGAUUGUUUUCCUUACAACCUGAAUGAUUGAUGUGCAAUCGAUUCUGAAACGGUACAGCUUAAUAUGCGUUCAUGCUUGUCUUGAUCGCUUUCUCUGAAUACCCGGGCUGCUUGUUUGGUUACGUGAAUUAGCAUAUAAAAUAAGUGAAUCAUGUUUAGAGUCUAGUUAUUCUGCUUGUCAUGUUACAUUUCGCUCACUAGUGCUGCAACUUACUGUUAAUUUUGCUUGUCUUUGUUAGUUCCCCUGUAAUUCACAUGUCAACGUGCACUCCAGGGUUAUUAAAUGUUAAUCUGACUCUAACAUACACUUCAACCUAGUGAGUUUGUUGAAUAUUGAUAUUCCUGAUUUGCACAUCGAGAUCCUUUCCUCCAUGAAAGGUAUUCUUGCGUGUUUCAGUCCGUUAUCCCUUUUUGUUUGAAACCACAUGGCAUUUGGUGCUUUUCCUCUUUGUUAAUUAGAAGACCAAUCACACAGCUAAGGUCUAGGAUGAUUACUUCAUUGCUCUCGAGUUUAUUUCAUUGGAUUAAUUGAGUUUGAACCUGGAUAAUUGACAAAGUUGGAAUGUCUGUGAUUGUGGUUUAAUGUUGAAUCGCAUUGAAUGUAUGUGUUCGGAUUUGUUCUGUUUUCCUUCUCUUGUUCGAAAAUCUAUCUGCAUUGUUACUGCUAUAAAGAAUUCUGCUCGUUUGAGAUACCGAAGACAGCCGAUUUGAGCAGUAAAUUGAGUCGAUAACCUGCAGUAUAUUGGACAUUUGUCUGAACUGUUAGCCUGUUGAAAAUCUGCCCGGUUUUGCAUUGUUUAGGCAGCAGAUCUGCACAGUUUUAUGUCAAAUUCUGUGCUAUUGGCUCGCGUUGGUUUUGAUUUGAUGGGUAGUUUAUAUGUCUAACUGAGGUUUGUUUGAUUUUGCGAUUGUUGAUCAAACCGGAAAACUGGUGCAUUCAUGUGCAAUUUUCAGAAAGUUUUUGUUUGUCUUCCUCUCUUUGAAAUGAGUUUAUGAUGGACGAUUUGAUAUCUUUUCUGUUAUGGGUUUGGUUAUCGUCACCUUAAUUUGGGUUAAUCAAUAUUUUUAAGCACGUCGACACCCUAGCAGUUUCUUUAUCUAUUUGAAGUUAAUUAAUUUGCACAUAUCUUUAUAUGAAAGUGAAGUCGACACCCUAGCUUGUUGUUCAAAUUGACGUAGGUUAACAUAGGAAGCUAAAGCUCUUAUCAUCCUUGGAUCCCCCAUUUAUCUCCUUUAAUUGUUAUUUGUGUUUUCCUUCUAGUUUAUAUGUUUGAGAUGCUUAUUUUACUUGAUUCGUCUUUAAAUGAUUGUUGGGAUAUUGAAGUGGGGAGGCCAAAUCCCAUUAAUGAUUAAUUUGUUCACAUCCUUUAAGAAUUGGGCUUGGUUGAAUGCUUGAAAUAAAAGCUUAAAGGGGAAUUUGCUUGAAAUUAGUAAAAGUACUCUAUAAUCACAGACCUUUUCAUACAAUCGUCGAAUUAGGGAUUACAUAAUUCGUGAACAUCGUAGAUUGCUUUAGGCAUAACUUAAUCUAUCACCAUGAUUAUGUACACGUCCGCGUGACAUAAUUAUGAUUCUAAAAAUAAAUCGAGGUAUGCGUUCGCGCAACUUCGACCAAACUUUCUUAAUAUUAAUAAAGCAUGAUUAAUUGUGGGUACGUAUGCGUGACAUGAUUCUUGACGCGCCAAACAAAAUGAGUACACGUGCACAUGACUCGUUUUUUAAAGAUAAUUAAGAAUAAUUAGGCAAAUAAAAGCGGUUAAGGGGGUAGAUGCACGUAGGUUUAAAAAUAAUAAUUAGACAAUUUAAUAAGCCAGGUAUAUGAUUAAAGCGACUGUGCUAAAACCACAGAAUUCAGGAAUACCUAACACCUUCUCCCGGGUGAACAGAAUCCCUUACCCGGUCUUUUGGUUUGGCGGACCUUUAAACAUAGUCAAUUUUCAUCGAUUCGGGAUUUUAAACCGGUGACUUGAGAUACCAUAACUUAUCCCAAAUGGCGACUCUGAAUUUGAAUAAAUAAUUCUAUUUCGAUUAUCGUCACUUUACUUGAAAAAACUCACUUAUUCCCUUUCGGGUAAAAAAGAAGGUGUGACACUCAGGCAGCCUCCAUUCCUGCUUGGCAAGAUGCAACGAGAAAGAAAUUUGAAGCUCUAGAUGCCAACCACACUUGGGAUAUUGUAGAGUUGUCUAGAGGCAAGAAAUCCAUUAAUUGCAAAUGGGUUUAUAAGGUGAAAUAAAAAGCUGAUGGUGGUGUAGAAAGGUAUAAGGCUAGUUUCCCCUGUUGUGAAGAUGUCCACUGUCAAGUUUCUUAUAGAAGUGGUUGUUAAACAAGAGUGGUAUUUAGUUCAAUUGGAUGUUAACAAUGCGUUUCUUCAUGGGGAUUUGAAUGAAGAAGUUUAUAUGAAAUUGCCUCACGGACUUUCAGUGUCUGGACCUCCUGUAUCUUCUGCUCCUUUAGUUUGUAGAUUAAGAAAGUCUCUCUAUGGACUAUGUUAAGCUUCUAGGCAAUGGUAUGCCAAAUUGUCUCAGGCUUUAUGUUAUAGGGGUUUCACUCAUUCUAUCAAUGAUUAUUCUCUGUUUGUCAUGGGUUCUCCUGGUUCACUAACUAUUUUAGCUAUCUAUGUUGAUGAUAUAAUUUUGACUGGUGACGAAGUUAAUGUUAUUCUUGAUUUGAAGAUGUUUUUACAUGACCAAUUCAGAAUCAAAGAUCUGGGCACUUUGAAUUAUUUUUUGGGUAUUGAAAUCCCUUAUUAUUCUUCUGGUCUCCUCCUGAAUCAAAAGAAGUUCACUGCUGAUUUGUUAUCCGAAUAUGCUUGUUCUGAUGUUUCUUCUGUGGUGUGCCCUUUAGAACUUCAUAAGAAGUUGUUUGUUGAUUUUGGGGAUCUUCUUGACAAGUCUGAGACCUAUAGGAGUUUGAUUGGGAGGUUACUUUUUCUCAAAUACACUAGGCCUGACAUUUGUUUUGUUGUCCAGCACCUUAGUCAGUUCUUAAAGUGUCCUAGAGUCCCCCACAUAGUUAUUGCCUUGCACAUUUUGAGAUACCUCAAAGGUUCACUUGAUGUAGGAUUGUUCUAUUCACGCUCUUCUGACCUUACUUUGACUGCUUACUCAGAUAGUGAUUGAGCAGCCUGUGUUGAUACUCGUCAAUCUGUGACUGGUUUUUGCAUUUUUCUGGGUGAUUGCUUGAUUGGUUGGAAAUCGAAAAAGCAACCUAUUGUUUCUUUAUCUUAUGUGGAGGCUGAAUAUUGAGCUCUCAACAAAGUGGUUGCGGAGUUGACUUGGUUAGUUUGUCUGUUUGCUGACUUGCAUGUUCCUGUCUCCUCAUGUCCUGUUUCUAUAUUUUGUGAUAAUUAGGUUGUUGUCCAUAUUGCAAAGAACCUCGUCUUCCAUGAGCGUACCAAACACAUUAAGAUGGAUUGUCACUUUAUUCGGACCAAGUAAAAUGAUAGCCCCAUUCAUCUGGCUCAUGUUCCUACUGCUAGGUAGUUUGCCGACAUUUUUACCAAGCCUCUAACUGGGCAGAGUCACCACUAUUUUCUUUGCAAGUUGCAGGUGGUUUCCCCUUCCAACUUGAGGGGGGGUGUUGAACUGGGAGAAUAUUUGGCAUCUGGGCCUCAUCACAAAGGAGCCCAACUUGUGUAAUUUUAUUUUGUAUAGUUAAUAGUGGUAGUGGACGGGUCAGUAGCUUAGGCCCAUAGUAUAUAUAUCAUUUUUGUCACGACCCUAAACCCAAAUCCGGUCGUGAUGGCGCCUCUCAUGAAGACAAGGCCAGCCACUUAACCCAAUUCAUCUUUUUAAAAAGUUAAAUAACAUAAAAGCAGUCUAAAACAUGAUAUAGCAAUACCAAGUAGCGAAUAAUGACAAACAAGUGCAGAAGUACAACCCAACACAGCCCUAACCGGGGUAUCACAAGUCACGAGCAUCUACUGGGGUAUAAAUACAACUGAAGGCGUGAAGUUUACAAAUACGGACUAAUGAAAUGAAGAGAGAGAAGAGCAAUGUUGCGAACGCCAGCAGCUACCUUGCUAAACUCCGAUGACCCUGCUUCCGAUCAGCCAAAACCCGCUACCGGGUGUAUAAAUACCUGAAUCUGCACGCAAGGUGCAUGGAGUAAAGUGAGUACUCCAACUCAGUGAGUAACAAAUAUAAAUAAAGACUGAAGGCAAGAAAUUACGUAAAGCAUAUCAAGAUGUUGUAUAGAAGCAGUCCAAAAUCAGUAAGGAAAACAGUGAGGCUGCAAAAAUCUAUUAAAAUAUCUUAGCUCAGUUUAAACAUCUUUGAAAAUGACUUUUUCAACAAUUACGCAAAUGAAUGCAAAACCGUUUGUGCAUAUAAGCACAGAAAAUCCGCCUAUCGGGCAGAAACACCAUAGCUUAACAGGUAAAAUGACAAGUAAAUAUGAAAGGUAAACACAUAAAGGUUCGCCCCUCGGGCAUAAUGUCAACAACCCCGCCCCUCGGGCAAUAUCUCAGAACAAUAACAGCCCCUCGGCCAAUCACAUAGAAUAGUACCAGCCCCUCGGGCCAUCACAUAAAACAAUACCAUCCCAUCGGGCUAUCACAUAGUACAAUAUCAGCCCCUCAGGCUAUAUCUCACAUCACAAUAGGUAUCCACGCUCAUUGGGGGUGUACAGACUCCGGGAGGGGCCCCUUACGGCCCAAACGCAAUAUCAAGCCACCUCGUGGCAUCAUAAACAAGCCCUCAUCCUUAUAUCAAUAUCAACAAGCCACCCCGUGGCAUCAUAAACAGGCCCUCGGCUUCAUAAUCAAAUCAGUAUCUCACUGCUACGGCGUGCAGCCCGACCCAAAAGUAUCCUCACGAUAUAAGCCAUUGGCCUUACUCAGUCAAAAAUCACAUAAGCUACUCGGGCAAUAGUAAAACAUGAUGCUCAGCCCAAAAUAUCAUUUAAAAACAUCCUUUAAGUCUCAAAACGGAGUAAAAAUGGCUAAGUUUUGAAAACAGUGGAAAAUAACAUGACUGAGUUCAAGUAUAAAGUCAAAACAAUGAGGAAAUAUCGACAGAAAAAAAAUUCCCCGAAGGGUCCAAAUAGCUGGCACUAGGCCCAAAUAUGGCAUUCAGCCCAAAUAAUGAUGAUAGCAAAUAGUUUUUAGUCAAAUACGCGGUAAAAUCAUCAAUCGGGACAGACCAAGUCACAAUCCCCAAUAGUACACGACCCUACGUCCGUCAUCCAACGUGUGUCUCGCCUCAAUAUAGCACAACGAUGUGCAAUCCGGGGUUUCAAACCCUUAGAGCAUCAUUUACAAUCAUUACUCACCUCGAACCGGCUAAAUCUCUAGCUCGCGACGCCUUUGCCCCUUGAAUUGGCCUUUACGCGCGUCGAAUCUAUCCAAAAUCGGAACGAGUACGUCAACAUAUGCUAAGGGAACCAAGCCCAAGCGAAAACAAUCAAUAAAAGUGCACAAAUCCCGAAAUUAGCAAAACCCGAGCUCCGGGCCCGCUUCUCGAAAAUCAAAAAAUUUUACAUCAAUAGAUUCUCCAUCUCUCUACGAGUCUAUGCAUAUCAAGAAUACCAAAAUCGGAGUUCAAAUGACCCCUCAAAUCCUCAAUUUAAGGCCUCUUAAACUUAAGCCCUAAUCCUCCAUUUUUAGCAUUUUGAUUCCUUUAAUUUCAGUCUUAAUCCAUGAAAUACUACCAUAGAAAUGUGUUUUAGGUCCAAAAUUCUUACCUUAACGAAGUUCCAUUGAAAUCUCCCUUCAAAAUCUUUCAAAAGCUCUCAAGCCGAAGUCAAAAAUGGUGAAAACCUUCAAAAAUCGCGAAGGCAAGCUUAUAUACAUUCUGCCCAGACAUUGUCUCAUCUGCGACUCACCAACCGCUUCUGCGGUACCGCAUUUGUGGUCUAGCAUCCGCUUCUGCGGAAAUCACUUAAGGGACCAGAUUCCGCAUCUGCGGUCCACGCGUCGCAUCUGCGACUCCGCAGGUGCGGUCCAUAUAUCGCAUCUACGUCCCUGACUAUUCUUCCCAAAUCCGCUUCUGCGGCUCCCCUUCCGCACGUGCGGCACCGCACAUGUGGUCCCCAAACCGUAGGUGCGAAAACACCAGAAGCAGCAAAUUUUCUGCAAUCACCCAAGUUCAAAUCUUCCCGUUAACCAUCCGAAAUCACCCCGAAACCCUCGGGACCUCAACCAAAAGCACAAAUAUAACCAAAUACCUUAUACAAACUUGUUCCAAUCAUCAAAACACUUCAAACAACAUCGAGUCUACCAAAUCACAUAGGAUUCAAACCUAAGUUUCAAAAAUCUAUUGAAAUACGUUUUUGAUCAAAAACCCAACCAAACCACGUCCGAAUGACCUGAAAUUUUACACACACAUCCCAACUGACACGACGAAGCUACUGCAACUCUCGGAAUUCCAUUCCAACCCCUAUAUCAAAAUCUCACCUAUCAACCGGAAAACGCUGAAAUCUCAAUUUCGCCAAUUCAAGCCUAAACCUUCCACGGACUUCCAAAAUGCAUUUCGAUCAUGCUACUAAGUCCCAAAUCACCUAACGGAGCUAACCAAAUCAUAAAAAUUUUGAUCCGAGAUCAUCUACAAACAAGUCAAAUCUUGGUCAAACUUUUCGAAUUACAAGCUUCAAACUGAGAACUGUUCUUCCAAAUUUCAUGUCGAUUACCCUGAAAACCAAAACCAAUGAUUUACAUAAGUCAUAAUACACCACACGGGGCAAGUCAUGCCCGAGAACUGAUGAUCAAAGUGCAAAAGCUCAAAACGACCGGUCGGGUCGUUACAUCAUCCCCACUUAAACAUACAUUCGUCCUCGAACGUGCCCAUAGUUGUUCUAAAAGCUAACCAAUCGCUGAAUAACCUCACCAUGCACAUACUCGGGGGGUGAUCCCACGUCACCCUAUCUCACAUAGGUUCGAUAACAUAAUAUAACUGAAAUUUCACAAUCCAUCCUAGUCCAUAAACCAUAGAACCACAUUUCUGCUUCUAUAUCCUCAAUACUAUCAGAAUCUCACAUUUAUACUAUGAAUAAGUCCAAACAAGCUGUAAAAAAUCAUAUCUACUAUCUCAAGUGCAAUCACAUUAUAUACCACAUAACUCAAACACUCGCAGCAAUAACUUCUAAUCACAACAGCUGCACAUAACAACCGAAUACCGAUGGAAAACCUCUUAUCAACUAAAGUCUCAUUCCCACACUUUCAUAUAUUGCCAAUGAUAAAUAAACCACACAGUAAGCCCUAACUAUUUCUCAGAUCAACCAUUCAUGAAGCCACUUCUCCUUUGGAAGAGACCAUAGCAAUUUUUCUGAGCCGGAGCUCGAUAUUAUCCUUCUAACAUGUCGAAAUCGAAUUCGUUCGUAUUCAUUAAUGAUACCAACGAUCUCAUCUAAUCCAACAUACUACUCUAGUGAUAUGACACAUCAAUACAUGCCUAAGCCACAACUUGCACAAUACGCGCAUCGAUAAGCAACAGUCCAAACAUACUCAAAUCAUGAAAAUGACUCAAAUGAAAGAGCUAUACCUCAAGCUCACCAGUACCACCACAACACAAGGCUGAGAACCCAUCUCACAUUAUAGGAACAGAACACACGAAUCUAACCCGCAAGGUCACUAUGCUCGAAAUCGACAACCACGUGCAAAUUGAUGUUUGGAACCAAAGCAAAUCAUCAUACCCACGGUAAAGCCAAUAACAUACAUCACACAACCGAAAGGACAUAACCGAUACGCCAUUCACCAAGCUACACCCAAUUACUCUCCCCGCUCGACUUCCACUAUGAAUCUUCAAUAGAAUCAUACCAUAUGUGCCUAUAACCAACAGAUUAUAACACCUCGCAACACAGAAAUGCAGCUCAUAAAUCUCCCCAGAUUACUAAUAAGCUCAAUAACAAUCGAAUCAACACAUCCCCCAACAAUACAACUCGGAGCCAACCAAGCCGACUCCAAUUAGAACACGCAUCCACAUUGGCCUGCCAACGAACUACUUAUCAAGGAAACCUGAAGCUGCUCCUUCAACUUCUUAACUCUGCCGGUGCCAUAUGAUACGGUGCCCAGCAUCAAAUCAAUACCAAAAUCAACAACCUUGCCUGGAGACAUGUCCGGCCAUAAGAAAUACAUCGGAAAAGUCCCUCACCACCGGAACUGAAUCAAUAUGAGGAGCCUCUACACUGACAUCCAUCAUGAAAGCCCAAAUAAGAAAGACAUUCCUUCUCAUCCGUCCACUGGGUCUUCGAAAUAUAAAACCACUCCAAUAGGACAUAACCCGUCGAACAUCACCACUCAAUCCGUGGCAUUUCUGACAUAGCCAACAGCGUCGCCUUAGCGCAAUAGUCCAGAAUAACACAACACGGAAACAAUCAGUCUGAACCUAAUAUCACAUCCAAAAUCUAGCAUACCAAGCAACAAAAGAUCUGCUCGGGUAUCCAAACCCCGAUAGUCACUAAACAGUGCCAAUACAUGCGACCCACAACCACAACAUAGCCUGAACACGAGAACUCCCAGUCUUCAACUCCACAUAGCACAUGAAUCACCACACCUGAUCCCAAUCAUUCCACGAGAGAUACUCUAAAAUUCUUCUGUACCACCAAGCAAACUCGAAUAUCAGCAGUCGGUUUAACAAGAAAGCGCCGCAAUACUACCGAAGCACCAUCAACUUCAUCACAUUGCCUUUUCUGAAACAUAUACCCUCGUCAAAUCACUCCAAUUAGAAAUACCAUUUCCUUAAUCAUCUGAAGAUCAUCCCCCUAAUCAUCUGAAGCUCAUUCCUCUAAUCAUCUGAAACUGCCCGUGUUGCCUAAGAAUUUUAUGACUUUCUAUUCAGAACUGAAUCGUAACCUUCCACAUGCAAAUUUCAAUCCUCCACAACAAAUUGCAUAUACCAUACCACCCUAGGAUAACAUAAGAACUUCAUCUUCCUUCCGAACCACAAACAUCUACGUACUCAACUAGUCAAGAACUUUCCAUAGGUCCCAUCCAGAAGAAAAUCACUAUACAUCAUAUGCUCCUCAUGCCCACAAAAAUAUACAUCUUUAUCCGAGGUAGAAACCAUCAAGAACUCUCCGAGUUCCCCUUGCACAAACCAAACCUGUCAGGACUGAAUCCUUCUAACUCGACCAAGUUAUGCAAGCCAUCAAUACCUAAGAGCAUUACCGCAAAAUACCUAUAGGAACUCAUUACCCUGUACACGCCCAAGGAACUAAUCAUAUCCUUACCAUACCGAUCCGGCCUACUACCAAGCUAUCCCAUCUAUCCCAGUUUCCUUCUGAUUUAUCUUCAACUUGGUAUUCCCUCUUGCUGCAGCAGCAUAACUCCUCAACCCAGACUUACCACGCGAGGCCCAAGCAUAAAAUCACACGGUCUAAGGCUCAUAAGCCACUGAAUACUCUCUUAAAUAUUCCCAAAAGCACCACAUUCAAAAUACUUUACUCUGAAGAACUUCCUGCGAAUCUAAAUCUGUUACCUUUACCUUCCUGAUACUGAUACAUAGAAUCCCAUAAUUAAUAUAGAAAACACCACAAGUCUUGAUAUCUUCCAAUGAAAACUCAGUCUCUAACCACAUAUACAACUUUAAAAUACCCUAUUAUUACAUGUAAAAUCCUGAACACAUUAGAACCAUUCCCACGAGUUAUUCACUCUACUCAAACUGCAAUUAGCCUAAUCAAACGAACCGAACAACCCGUGCCUCGUUAGCACUCUAACAUCGCAGAAUGUGACAUCAUUCCAUUACAACCAAGCAACUUCUUGCUCUAUGCACCGAGCAUCCUUUACCAACAACAACUCAAGACAUGCCGAGAUUCUCACACACUUAUGAAGCAUACUAUAACUUUUGUUAAAAAUUUUACUUUACUCGAGCCAUCCUCGGUCUCAAUCUCCGUGGGCCAUAACUGACAUAGCACCUAGUCGUGCAAUCAACUACUCAACAGCAGACUCCCCCACUUGGCUCGAAGCCAUAGAUCAAAUACACUCAAUAACGCAUAACGCUUAUACUCUAUUGAUGCCAUAAUACCAUAGUGAGGUUAAACUUAAAUCCUUUAUAAGCUUCUAAAAACACAGAUCAUCAAGAAUUUUAACUCUUCUACAAAUCUCGCAUUCACUCUCGCAACAGUUAAGCCCAUUCUCUUAAGCGACCCAAAAUUCAAAUAUCAACACUUACAUUUCACUUGUACAUGAGAUCUUCUAACAAUCACAUAAGGAUCACACAACCCCAGAACACUUCGCAAGAGAUAACCCACCGAGAUCAUCUAGAAACAAGUCAAAUCUUGGUCAAACCUUUCGAAUUACAAGCUUCAAAGUGAGAACUGUUCUUCCAAAUUUCAUGUCGAUUACCCUAAAAAUCAAAACCAACGAUUUACAUAAAUCAUAACACACCACAUGGGGCAAGUCAUGCCUGAGAACUAGCGAUCAAAGUGCAAAAGCUCCAAAUGACCGGUCGGGUCAUUAUAAUUUUAUACAUGUUAUGUAAUAGAUUUUUUCAUUCUUUUGGACAGAACAUAACAUAUUCAAUCGAGAAGCUUCCAUCUUCUUCUUCUCUUUAUUCUCUUUAAUCCUAAUUGAGUUUUCAUGGCGAUCUCGUGGAUAUUCAAGUUUAUCAAAUAAUACAUUCACCUAAACAACCCCUUAUAUCUAAAGGGUAAUGAUCAAUCGGGAAGCUUCCGUUUUCUUCUUCUCUUUAUUCUCUUUAUCCCUAACUGAGUUUUCGUGGCGAUCUCAUGGAUCUUCAAGUUUAUCAAAUAAUACAUUUACCUAAACAACCCCUGAUAUCUAAAGGGUAAUGAUCAAACUGCAACAUUAAUUGACAGACCACAUGAUUUCCAACUUAAAAUUAUUGGAACAACUAUUGUUACCAGUUGUUAUCUGUUAGGAUUAGUCCUUAUCUUUAAUACUUAUCGUUAGAUUAGAUAGAGAUUUAGAGUUCUACUUUCAGUUCAUAUUUAUCAUUUAGUUAGUUAGCUUUUGAUAGUGUUUUGAUUUGAAUAAGUAUCCUAAUUCAAGGAGUACUCUUAGGAAGACUUGUAUUUAAACUAAGCUUGACAUUCAAUAUAUAUAUACAUUUUUCCAUCAUAUCUUUGAGUGUUUAUAUGGUAUUUGAGCCUAUACAAGUCUAACGAGUACGAUCCUAAAUUAUUAUUUUUUUCACCAAAUCCUCCAAUGACGAAAGAUGGAACUACUCCCAGAGUUGUCAAUGUCGACAACACUACUGGUACUACAACCAUUGUUCAAUUCAACCCCACUUCCCAACUACCUAUCAAACUUAGUGGAAGUCACAAUUUUUUUACUUGGAAAGCUCAGUUCUCCAUGCUUAUGCACGGUCAUGACCUCUAUGUUCACCUUGAUGGGUCCACUCUGAUUCCCACUCCAAGCACCACGUUUGGUACGAACACAACCCCCAAUCCUGCUUAUACGCUUUGGUUCCGUCAGGAUCAACUCAUCCAGAAUGCUCUUAUGGCGUCUAUUGACCCGACCAUUGCCUCCAUAGUUGUUGUUGCCAGCACAUCCAAAAAUGCUGACUCCUUGCACACCGUUUAUGCAAACAAGUCCCAAACUCGGAUCUUCGGUCUUCGUGAUCAACUUGCACGAAUCACCAAAUACACCAUCCCCAUUACCAAGUACCUUCAACAUAUUCGGUCCCUUUCAGAUGAACUUGCUACUGCAGGUGCCCCGGUCACUAACUCCGAACUUAUUGUCAAAAUCCUAAUUGGACUUGGCCCUGAGUUUCGUGAGAUCUCGGCUGCCAUACGAGCACGUGACACCACAGUCACCUAUGAGGAAUUAUAUGAAAAGCUGGUUGACCAUGAGCUCUUUAUCUGUCACGAGGAAGCCAAGAAAACCAAUAGUCCUAUCACAGCAGCAGUUGCCACUCGCGACAAACUGAACAACAAUUCCAACAAUCGCAACAAUCGCCGCCAAUUUUACAACAACAAUUCUCAGCAAUGGCGACAGAACAACCGCCCCAAUACAUCUACCCAUUGCCAACCCUACAUAAUAACACAGCAUGUGUUAUUCGUUGUCAAUUAUGCAACAAGAUUGGCCAUGUUGCAAAUGUGUGCUGCUCCAAGUCACACAACCACUUUGAGGCCAAAGCCAAUUACAUCACAGGCUUUAACACUACUGCUAACUCGUGGAUAGUCGUCUCUGGUGCCACACACCACAUCACAACUGAACCUCACAACCUACAGCAGUACCACAGCAACGAGAAUGUCUCCAUGGGUGAUGGUAACAAAAUUCUCAUAUCACAUAUUGGCUCUACUCAAUUAAAUGCAUCAAAUAAUAUUUUUAAACUAACUCACACUCCAUGUGCUCCAGCUAUUAAACUCAAGCUUAUUUCUAUUUCCACAUUCUAUCAAGACAAUCUAAUGUCUGCUGAAUUUUUUUCCUUUUUCUUUUCUUGUGAAGGAUCUGAAAAUGCAGAUACAAUGGAGUAUAUGAGUGACCCACUUCACAUCCAUAAGCUCACAUAUCUACC